rnacentral:rRNA from 1 species
UACGUAGGGCGCGAGCGUUGUCCGGAAUUAUUGGGCGUAAAGAGCUCGUAGGCGGUUUGUCGCGUCUGUCGUGAAAUCCUCUGGCUUAACUGGGGGCGUGCGGUGGGUACGGGCAGACUAGAGUGCGGUAGGGGAGACUGGAAUUCCUGGUGUAGCGGUAAAAUGCGCAGAUAUCAGGAGGAACACCGGUGGCGAAGGCGGGUCUCUGGGCCGUUACUGACGCUGAGGAGCGAAAGCAUGGGGAGCGAACAGGAUUAGAUACCCCCGUAGUCCCUGAG